UGGCAGCAUUAUUUGUUUUAUUUAUUAUUUGAUGUGUCAACUCUCCACCAAUCAUUAAAGUAAGCAAACGCAAACAACUUACAGUGACUUUUCAAUGAGAAAUCAAUGAAUGAUGUAUUGUUCUCAUUGCCCUUCUAAGCUUCAAAUCCCAGAUAGAAUUUCAGGAAAGCUGUGUUGCCUGGUGAGAUGAAGGAGAAAUGACAGAUGGCAGCUCCCUGCACAGUACAAGAAGCCUUACAAGGU
rnacentral:lncRNA from 1 species